rnacentral:rRNA from 1 species
UACCCGCAGCUCAAGUGGUGGUCAUUAUUAUUGGGCCUAAAGCGUCCGUAGCAGGCUUGUUAGAUGCCUGGGUAAAUCGAUGCGCUUAACGCAUCGAAUUCCGGGUAGACCGGCAAGCUCGAGACCGGGAGAGGCGUGAGCUACUCAAGGGGUAGGGGUAAAAUCCUGUAAUCCUUUGGGGAGGACCAGUGGCGAAGGCGUCACGCUAGAACGGCUCUGACGUGU